GCGGCCGUGCGCCAGGCCCGUGGGCAGGGCUGCGGGCGAGGCUCAGGGUCGCGGGUUCGAGACCGAGCUCCGGCGUUCCGCGGCCUCACAGGCCCUUGCUCCGCUGUGGGGAGAUGAGCGUACAAAGGGGUGGACUCAGAGCCACCCAGUGGACAAGGACCAGAGGUCAACUUGGACUUUGGACACCGGACAUGGCGACGGGCCCCUGCCGGGAAGCGCAGGACCGAGGAUUGCAGCCCUCUUGACUCUGCUCCUGGCCAGCAGCUCCCUGGGUCAGCGGGCC